UAGAUUUCAAAUAUGUGGGUUACCUAGAUAAAUAAAAAAAACUUUGUAAAUUAUUUUCAAAAGUUUUAUAACUUCAAUAAAUAAAUGAUCAGCUGAAAGUUUGAGAAUCACUUUGCCGUGGUGCCACUAAAAUUGCUCCCCACCAGCCACCGCAAGGAGGAUGGAGCAUGAUGUGUUUGUAGGGAAGGUGUUUGGAACUGAUGAGUUUAAUGUGCUUUUGAAAGCGUUUUGCACUCAGAGGCAAAUGACGGAGGCUAGAUCUGUGUUUGUGAAGAUGGUGCCAAGGUUUUCUUGAUGGAUGAGAUGGUUGAGAAACACAUUGAGUUUGAUGGGUUAACUUACGACACAUUGUUCUUUGGGUUGAAGAAGACAAAGGGGAUUGAAGGUGUGAGUGAACUUUACCAGACAAUGACUAAAAGGAAUUUUGUUUUGAAAAUAAGAAUAGUUGUGACACUAAUGAAAUAUUUCUGCCAAAAUUCUCGUGUUAAUUUGGAUUUGAGUUUAUGAAAAUACAUGGUUGAGAGAGGGUAUUGUCCUCAUUCUCAUGCUUUGGAUCUUCUAGUCACUGGAUUAUGCUCCUGGGGUUUGGUGCAAGAAGCUUUUGAGUGCUCCAAACAAUUGUUAGAAAGAGGAAGACAUAUGAGCACUGCUUCAUUUUCAAUGAUGGAAAAUUUUUUACUGAAGGCUAGUCAGAAAGAAAAGUUGAAGGAUCUAGAUCAAAUGAUUAAAAAAUUGCAAAGUAUCUUACCACCAUCAAGAGGACAUGCCA